GCUGGGCACAGUGCCGCAUGCCUGUAAUCCCAGGGGCUCAGGAGGCUGAGGCAGGAGGAUCACAAGUUGAAAACUAGCCUCAGCAAUUUAGUGAGGCCCUGAGUAACUUAGUGAGACCCUGCUUCUA
rnacentral:sRNA from 1 species